ACUGUCCCUAUCUACUAUCUAGCGAAACCACAGCCAAGGGAACGGGCUUGGCACAAUUAGCGGGGAAAGAAGACCCUGUUGAGCUUGACUCUAGUCCGACUCUGUGAAGAGACAUGAGAGGUGUAGCAUAAGUGGGAGCUUCGGCGAAAUUGAAAUACCACUACUUUUAUCGUUUCUUUACUUAUUCAGUUAAGCGGAGAGUGGGGCGAAAGUCCCUUUCUUCUGGAAUCAAGCAGGCUUCGUCGGAAGCUUGCGAUCCGCUCUGAAGACAGUGUCAGGCGGGGAGUUUGACUGGGGCGGUACAUCUGUCAAAAGGUAACGCAGGUGUCCUAAGGUGAGCUCAGUGAGGACGGAAACCUCACGUAGAGCAAAAGGGCAAAAGCUCACUUGAUUUUGAUUUUCAGUACGAAUACAGACCGUGAAAGCGUGGCCUAUCGAUCCUUUUGAUUUUUGGAGUUUAAAGCAAGAGGUGUCAGAAAAGUUACCACAGGGAUAACUGGCUUGGGCAGCCAAGCGUUCAUAGC
rnacentral:rRNA from 1 species